CUUAGUCGGGGGAAUGGCGGCAAUUAGCGAUCUUUCAAUGGAUUCGGUUCUUUCUGGUUUCGAUCAAAUUUACGAGGAUUUCAAGAAGGGAAUCGAAGAGAUUCAGUUACUGAAAUCGAAUUGGAAUGCAGAAAUAAAGAGAGGAGAGGCUCUUGAAAUCGCUUGCGACUCUCUAAAACAAGGAGCUUGCUCUCAGCCAUGGUGAUUAUCAGAAGAAAAGACAGGAGCAGAAGGAGGUUAAACAGCACUGAUGUUUUGAUGUUAAGCCUAGCCAUUGAUGACCAAAUGCGUCCCAGCAGGUACUAACUCUUCUUGCUAUAUAUAUGUUUGUGUGUGUAGAGAUUUUGGUUUGA